rnacentral:lncRNA from 1 species
UCCGCCUUCCUCUCUCCUCCUUCCAUGUCCGCUUCUGCUCCUUCCUGGGAGCCCCCAUGUUCAAAGCUGAAAGUUCACAAGCACACCCAAGUCGUCAUAGGUAAACUUGAUGACACUCGGGAAAGUUGUAGAGGAGCCUAACCGCCAGCCACCUUCACAGAUGGAUGCGCAAAUGCUGCGUAACCCAUUUUCUUGUCAUAGGGUCUGUGACGUAAGACCCACCCGUGGCGCUCCUGCUCUUCCGGUGCUUUAUAAGACUCAUUUCAGUGAUUGGGGGAGGCUCAGUGGAAGCGCUGUCCUGGCAUGUAUAAGUCUCAGGGGUCUCUCCCUAGAGUGAGAAAAAAAGGAAAGGAAAAGAGGGAGGGAGAGAGAAGGGAACUUGUUGUCAUCAAGUCAUCUCUGAAUAUCUUGGCAUGGAAUAAUGUCAAAAAUGUCCUCAAAUUACCCACUUCAUUUGCUACACACUUAAAAACGCCCGCCUUUAGUUCUCCCACAAUGAAGUUUCCUAAAUAUUGUAUUUAAAGUACCGCACAAUGGAAGACUGGAAACUCAGUCCCUCGCCCAUCGAGUGACUCACGUCUCCGUUGAUGGUGCCGGCGUAGCUGCCCAUCACAGAUUGGGUGCAGGCAGAGCCCACAUGCUGCAUCGGACUCUGCGAGGCCACGAGACACAAUAACGAGUUGGCAGACCAUGAAGGCUACUUCCUCAGCAAGUUGAGAGUGCGGCCUACAGCAUAUUUCUCAGAUACUUGACAAUUCACCAUUCAAGGGCCAUAAGAAGUUAUGGCAGAGGUCAUCAGUCUAACAUCGCCCAGUAAAAAGAUG